GACGAACGCUGGCGGCGUGCUUAACACAUGCAAGUCGAACGGAAAGGCCCUGCUUUUGUGGGGUGCUCGAGUGGCGAACGGGUGAGUAACACGUGAGUAACCUGCCCUUGACUUUGGGAUAACUUCAGGAAACUGGGGCUAAUACCGGAUAGGAGCUCCUGCUGCAUGGUGGAGGUUGGAAAGUUUCGGCGGUUGGGGAUGGACUCGCGGCUUAUCAGCUUGUUGGUGGGGUAGUGGCUUACCAAGGCUUUGACGGGUAGCCGGCCUGAGAGGGUGACCGGCCACAUUGGGACUGAGAUACGGCCCAGACUCCUACGGGAGGCAGCAGUGGGGAAUAUUGCACAAUGGGCGGAAGCCUGAUGCAGCAACGCCGCGUGCGGGAUGACGGCCUUCGGGUUGUAAACCGCUUUCGCCUGUGACGAAGCGUGAGUGACGGUAACGGGUAAAGAAGCACCGGCUAACUACGUG
rnacentral:rRNA from 1 species